AUCGGGUCUGAAUAAGAGCUUUGAAUCCAGAUGGCACCAUGUCUUGAAUGCAGACACCUCCUGCCAGUGAAUACACCCUCUUGCAUUGGAUGUGAGUCACCAAUAGCUCCACAGCUGCAGCCCCAAACCAACAUCUGUGUAAAGGUAAUUGAGAAUAAAUCUAACAAAACAGCAAUUUACCUCCUGGCAUGCAUUUUUCUAACAGAUGACUUCAU